rnacentral:rRNA from 3 species
CCCAGACAGCCAGGAUGUUGGCUUAGAAGCAGCCAUCAUUUAAAGAAAGCGUAAUAGCUCACUGGUCGAGUCGGCCUGCGCGGAAGAUGUAACGGGGCUAAACCAUGCACCGAAGCUGCGGCAGCGAACGUAUCACCCAAGACAACUUUACGGAGUUAACGAUUGACGGAGCGAAGCGACGUCAAAGCGUUCAUUAAAGUCGAGUUGGCUUAGGGAUACGUUCGUUGGGUAGGGGAGCGUUCUGUAAGCCUGUGAAGGUGGCCUGUGAGGGUUGCUGGAGGUAUCAGAAGUGCGAAUGCUGACAUAAGUAACGAUAAAGCGGGUGAAAAGCCCGCUCGCCGGAAGACCAA